AAGAGUCGGGAAAGGGGGUCUGGGAGAGAAGGGUCUUCACAGAGUCUCGGAAUAGAACGUAGCUAUCCCCCGGACGCAGGGCAUCCUGGGAAAGGUAGUUUAGCGCAGCCCAGUGAAUGGACUACAACUCCCACAGUGCUCCUGGAGGAGCGGGCGCGGCGUGAGCUGUGGCCUCCGAGGCCUGGAAAGUGGUGAUGGAGCCGACGCCGCGGUUGGCUUUGAGCUAGACAAACGCCAGGAGGACAGUGUCUGGUCAGAAAAUCUGCAGGCACGAUGCGAACCGACAGACCAACUGCGGAAGGCUGUGUGCAGGGCAGACCCCCAGGGGACCAGCAGACAGUCCAUUGCCUCGACCCCAAACUUUGGGGCUUAUCACCCUACAGUGACCUUUAAUUCUUCACCUUCGCUGAGCUUGGGGUAGACCUGAGCCCCUCUACUCCCUUCCACUCGCAGCCCUAGCCAGAGUUUCUGUUCGUAUUCACUUGAAGGUUCUUCCCUUGAUGUUUAUCUUACCCUGCUAGCGUCUGAGUGUGGGGUGCGGGGGUGGACGAUGUGAUUUGCAUCUGUCAAAGGUAGAAGACUGGAACGUGGUUGGUACCCAGAGAUCUGAUAGGCGAAUGCUGAAGGUAGUGGUAAAUUCCUGCCCCCUUAUCCAUAAUUUUUCUAAUACCUGCAUCUAAGUUAUUGCUCAUGUACCCCGCCCCUUCCGCUCUCUCCUCUCGCUAAUACCGCAACAGCCCUCUUGCCUUGUAAUUCCUCCCCGAAUUUCUAAAGCAGGCAUUUGAAGCGAUUAGAAAAAGGUGCCCCAGGAAAAAUGGCUCUUGUCUUCUCUAAUCUUAAUAUUCAGCAGAGGUGGGCUGGGCUGGUGGUGGCGGUGUAGCUGCUGUUGCGGCUUCUUGUUUCAAGUAGUGCCAUUGUAAUUAAACUCCCCGUGUAGAGAUAGCAUCUUUUCUUCCGGAGCGAGUCAGUGUUGACACCUCAGUUCACAAAUUCAUGCAGCCACCUCCAGGGUGAAAUGCAGCACCUACUAAAACCUUCUUGCCUCAAAGGAAGCCCACGGAGGCAUGUUCUCUGCACCUUCCUUAAAAGGCUAAAUUUUUGUCUAAGGAAGUUUAGAAUAGCUCUUAAAAUAGAUGAAAAACUUCAUUUGGGAUUGAACUCAUUGACCCCCAUCUUUCUCAGCUCCUGUUGGUCUUGCCUGACUUUUAAAGAGAAGAUCUGUUAGGUCAUAUAUCCAUUAGGUCCUCUUGCUUGUGUCAGGAUUUUCUUGUUUGUUUUGCUUUGUUGGUGGGGGGGGGGAUCCUUUUCUAGGACUAGAUCAAGGCCAGAUUUGCAUGAAUUUCAAGUCUCAGGUGAAACAAAAUUUCCAGUAGUAUUAAAGUACCUAACAUGUAUUUAUGAAUAUUGUGUACAGAAUCUGAGGAAGCAGGUUUUAAAAUAAGUUUUAAAAAACAGAAAGCUGGCUUUCCGGCCUUUCGUAAGACUAAUAGCAACGAGUCCACAGUGGUUUGUUUUUUGCUUUUGUUUGUUUUUUGUUUCUUUUACAUUACAUAUUAGGUUAUUUACUCCACUAAGCAACUUUUUGAAAUAGGGUUCUUAUACUCAUUUUAGAGAUGAGAACAUGAAACACAGAGAUAAGUGAUUUGUCCAAAGUCGGGCUGACAGUAACUGACUAGUGCCUUACUACAAAACAAUCACUAUCAACCACUGUAAUCUUGAAACUUCUAUACUUCCUUUCUAUAUAAUGUACUCCACUUUGUUUUACUUUUCAAGUUUUCACAUAUGGUAUAUUACCACCUCAAUCAAGUACAUCAAAGCUAGGGAAAAGUCUUACUUACCUCCUUAACCAUCAAAUACAACAGCUUACAUACCAAUAAAUAAAUAAUUCAA